rnacentral:rRNA from 1 species
GUCGAACGGACUCAUAUUGAAACCUAGUGAUGUAUGAGUUAGUGGCGGACGGGUGAGUAACGCGUGGAGAACCUGCCGUAUACUGGGGGAUAACACUUAGAAAUAGGUGCUAAUACCGCAUAAGCGCACAGCUUCGCAUGAAGCAGUGUGAAAAACUCCGGUGGUAUACGAUGGAUCCGCGUCUGAUUAGCUAGUUGGUGGGGUAAAGGCCCACCAAGGCGACGAUCAGUAGCCGGCCUGAGAGGGUGAACGGCCACAUUGGGACUGAGACACGGCCCAAACUCCUACGGGAGGCAGCAGUGGGGAAUAUUGCACAAUGGGGGAAACCCUGAUGCAGCGACGCCGCGUGAGUGAAGAAGUAUUUCGGUACGUAAAGCUCUAUCAGCAGGGAAGAAAAUGACGGUACCUGACUAAGAAGCCCCGGCUAACUACGUGCCAGCAGCCGCGGUAAUACGUAGGGGGCAAGCGUUAUCCGGAUUUACUGGGUGUAAAGGGAGCGUAGACGGCAGCGCAAGUCUGGAGUGAAAUCCCAUGGCUUAACCAUGGAACUGCUUUGGAAACUGUGCAGCUGGAGUGCAGGAGAGGUAAGCGGAAUUCCUAGUGUAGCGGUGAAAUGCGUAGAUAUUAGGAGGAACACCAGUGGCGAAGGCGGCUUACUGGACUGUAACUGACGUUGAGGCUCGAAAGCGUGGGGAGCAAACAGGAUUAGAUACCCUGGUAGUCCACGCUGUAAA